ACUCCUUCCAGUGGUGGAGGAAAGUUUGCACAAGAUCUGGCAAUGACUACUAUUGUUUUACAGUGGGAAGACACAUUUAUUUCUGUCAAACUCAUGCAAGCCAUGCCUCUCACCCUAGAUGGUACAAGUAGAGGAGAAGAACCCUGAGGUUACAAGGUGCAGAGCUCUUCUGUUACAA